rnacentral:pre_miRNA from 1 species
AAUUGCCCGUAGGACGGGAAGGUGUCAACGUUUUACAUUUUGAACAAACAUUGCACUUGUCCCGGCCUAUGGGCGGUUU